rnacentral:rRNA from 1 species
ACGCCUUAUACAUGCAAGUCGAACGAAGUAGCAAUACUUAGUGGCAGACGGGUGAGUAACAUGUAGGUAUCUUCCCUUUGGUGAGGAAUAACACGAGGAAACUUGUGCUAAUACCUCAUAAGUCUUUACGGAGAAAGCUUUAUGCGCCGAAGGAUGAGCCUGCACUUGAUUAGUUUGUUGGUAGGGUAAUGGCCUACCAAGACUGUGAUCUAUAGCUGAUCUGAGAGGAUGAUCAGCCACAUUGGGACUGAGACACGGCCCAAACUCCUACGGGAGGCAGCAGUAGGGAAUAUUGCACAAUGGAGGAAACUCUGAUGCAGCGAUGCCGCGUGAGUGAAGAAGGCCUUUGGGUUGUAAAGCUCUUUCGUCGGGGAAGAAAAUGACUGUACCCGAAUAAGAAGGUCCGGCUAACUUCGUGCCAGCAGCCGCGGUAAUACGAAGGGACCUAGCGUAGUUCGGAAUUACUGGGCUUAAAGAGUUCGUAGGUGGUUAAAAAAGUUGGUGGUGAAAUCCCAGAGCUUAACUCUGGAACUGCCAUCAAAACUUUUUAGCUAGAGUAUGAUAGAGGAAAGCAGAAUUUCUAGUGUAGAGGUGAAAUUCGUAGAUAUUAGAAAGAAUACCAAUUGCGAAGGCAGCUUUCUGGAUCAUUACUGACGCUGAGGAACGAAAGCAUGGGUAGCGAAGAGGAUUAGAUACCCUCGUAGUCCAUGCCGUAAACGAUGUGUGUUAGACGUUGGAAAUUUAUUUUCAGUGUCGCAGCGAAAGCAUUAAACACACCGCCUGGGGAGUACG